UAUUUUUUUUUAAGUAACUCAGAAUUGUAGUCAUUGCAAAAAAAAAUAGGUAAAUGUAUUUAAGUCAAGAGAUUUCCAGCUUUCCUUUGGGGGGUCUACAGCUCACAUCCCCUACUACCUUGAAGCAGGGUAUUAACUGCAGUAUAUAUGAACAGAGGUAGUUGGGCGAUACUAUGCCAGUUAGCUUCUCUUCUUCACUGCAGAUCGUGGCGAGUGCUGGGGUAGGGGACAUAGAAACUGCAGCUACUUAAGAGAUCCACUAGGUAACUGAAAUCUCAGUUAGCCAAUUAGUGAUGGUAGAGUUAAUGAAACAAUUGAAACUAUUUGGAUUUAUUGUUGUUCUUCUAAUAUAUUCUAAUAAGAACAUUAAUAAUAAGAUUAUUUAACUGAUUGUAUAAAUUAUUUAAUUUUAUGUUUAAUAGCUUUAGUUAAUAAUCGUAGCACUUUAAGAAUUGUUCCUUUAAUAACUUCCAGAAAUCAUCUUUUUCCUCUAACAAAAAAGAAAAAAUCAUUAACAAUUUUGUUUUUGUCUGUUAGUUUUUGGUAAUCUUAUAGGUAUGAAUUGGGCUGAGCCAGAUGCUAAAAAACAGUUUGUUUUUAAAUUAAUGUACUUGGUUUAUAAAAAUAGAUAUGUAUCAUGAAUAUUUCUCCUAUGUAAUCUUUAGGUUAUAUGUAGCUCUUGAAUAUUCAUAUAAUACUAGGAGAUAAAAAUAGUAAGGGCAAUUGAAAUCCAUAUAAUUUUUCACACCUUAAAAAAAUAAAUUUAUUGAGUUUUUGAAUGUAUAAAAAGCAAUCUAUGUCCACUGUGGAAUCUGUUGCCUAAAUAAGCUUGUUAAUCCUCCUGCCCUACAAAAGGAUUUCACUUAGUGUUUGAAAUUUGACCAUUUAAGACUUACCCUCUUCCCUGUCUCACCUCCUCCAGAGGUGAUGACAAACCUGGCAAGUCUGAUUGCAAGCUGAGAGCCAAAAGGAAAAGGAAGAGCCACCAAAGGCUAAGAUGAUGAGUCACAUGACACAGCUGGAACAUUAAAUCAUGUGGACACUACAUUUCCAGAAUAGGAAGACUUUGUUGCUUUUAUCAGUAAAAUAUAACUUUAUAGAAUACCUUUCAACCCAGUAGACAUUAUUGUUAAAAGCAUAGGAUGUGACAUCAGGGAGAUGUCAUUGUGGAUCCAAAUGAAAUGCUUAGCACAUUGCCUGGCUCAGAGUAAGAGCUUACCAACUGAUGGGUCGUAAUGAUGGUGGUGGUUGUGGGGAAUGCUGGUGGUGAUGGUGAUAGUAACAGUAAUAGUAGCAGAAACUACAGUGAUUUCUUAGAGAACUUCAUGUUACCCUCAAGACAGGACAGUGGGGAAACACAGUAAAAUUAACCUAGACAAUGAUAUAAACUCAUGUUUUCUCCUAAAUUUCAUUAUUUUUAAAGGAUCUACAUUUUGUCGAUAAAGGAGGAAUGGCUCCUUCUGCUGCCUAUCAUCUCAGUCUCUCCUCUUGUUUUAACUCACGUAUUCUCACACUGUCUGGUAGAUUGUGUGUGCUCUGUGUUAUAUGUUUUGGUAUUUGGCACAAGAUCAGGACCUAGAACAUACCUUGGAAAAGUAAUGAAUGGGUCUGUGUGUACUGAGCCGAAAGCAUGAAUACCAGAUGGCUGCGGAGAGUGGAAGAGAUAGCACCUGUGUGGCCCGUCAUUUGGUGGCUGUGCCCAGAGUAUCUGGUGUUCUUCAGAGAAAUGGGACUAAGGAAGCUAGCCCAGCCUGCACUAGAGCCAAAA